GAUGAAGAACGCAGCGAAAUGCGAUACUUGGUGUGAAUUGCAGAAUCCCGUGAACCAUCGAGUCUUUGAACGCAAGUUGCGCCCGAAGCCAUUAGGCCGAGGGCACGCCUGCCUGGGCGUCACACGUCGUUGCCCCCCAUCUACUCCUUCGGGAUUGCGGGGGGCGGAUGAUGGCCUCCCGUGCGCCUCGUCGCGCGGUUGGCAUAAAUGCCAAGUCCUCGGCGACGCACGCCACGACAAUCGGUGGUGGCGAAACCUCGGUUGCCCGUCGUGUGCGGUCGUCGCGCAUCGAGGGCUCGAAAAAAUUGCCGGGCUCCGGCUCGGCUUUCAACGCGACCCCAGGUCAGGCGGGGUUACCCGCUGAAUUUAAGCAUAUCAAUAAGCGGAGGA
rnacentral:misc_RNA from 1 species